GAUGAACGCUGGCGGCGUGCCUAAUACAUGCAAGUCGAGCGAACAGACGAGGAGCUUGCUCCUCUGACGUUAGCGGCGGACGGGUGAGUAACACGUGGAUAACCUACCUAUAAGACUGGGAUAACUUCGGGAAACCGGAGCUAAUACCGGAUAAUAUAUUGAACCGCAUGGUUCAAUAGUGAAAGACGGUUUUGCUGUCACUUAUAGCUGGAUCCGCGCCGCAUUAGCUAGUUGGUAAGGUAACGGCUUACCAAGGCAACGAUGCGUAGCCGACCUGAGAGGGUGAUCGGCCACACUGGAACGGAGACACGGUCCAGACUCCUACGGGAGGCAGCAGUAGGGAAUCUUACGCAAUGGGCGAAAGCCUGACGGAGCAACGCCGCGUGAGUGAUGAAGGUCUUCGGAUCGUAAAACUCUGUUAUUAGGGAAGAACAAAUGUGUAAGUAACUAUGCACGUCUUGACGGUACCUAAUCAGAAAGCCACGGCUAACUACGUG
rnacentral:rRNA from 1 species